GAUGAACGCUGGCGGCGUGCCUAAUACAUGCAAGUCGAGCGAACGGACGAGAAGCUUGCUUUUCUGAUGUUAGCGGCGGACGGGUGAGUAACACGUGGAUAACCUACCUAUAAGACUGGGAUAACUUCGGGAAACCGGAGCUAAUACCGGAUAAUAUUUUGAACCGCAUGGUUCAAAAGUGAAAGACGGUCUUGCUGUCACUUAUAGCUGGAUCCGCGCUGCAUUAGCUAGUUGGUAAGGUAACGGCUUACCAAGGCAACGAUGCAUAGCCGACCUGAGAGGGUGAUCGGCCACACUGGAACUGAGACACGGUCCAGACUCCUACGGGAGGCAGCAGUAGGGAAUCUUCCGCAAUGGGCGAAAGCCUGACGGAGCAACGCCGCGUGAGUGAUGAAGGUCUUCGGAUCGUAAAACUCUGUUAUUAGGGAAGAACAUAUGUGUAAGUAACUGUGCACAUCUUGACGGUACCUAAUCAGAAAGCCACGGCUAACUACGUG
rnacentral:rRNA from 1 species